rnacentral:sRNA from 1 species
AAAAAGUAGUACACAUUACAAUUUCUCGCCUAACGAUUUUACUCUGUGGUAAACCGAAAGAUAGUUAAAAACGGCUCCAUUUCGAUUACUUUGAAA